AAUCAACGCUGGCGGCGUGCCUAACACAUGCAAGUCGAACGAGAAAGAGGGGGCAACUCCUUGAGUAAAGUGGCGACCGGGUGAGUAACACGUGACUAACCUACCCUUGAGUGGGGAAUAACCUUCCGAAAGGAGGGCUAAUACCGCAUAACAUCGCGAGGCGAGAUUCCUUGUGAUCAAAGGAGCAAUUCGCUUAAGGAGGGGGUCGCGGCUGAUUAGCUAGUUGGUGAGGUAACGGCUCACCAAGGCGAUGAUCAGUAUCCGGCCUGAGAGGGCGAACGGACACACUGGAACUGAAACACGGUCCAGACUCCUACGGGGGGCAGCAGUGGGGAAUUUUGCGCAAUGGGGGAAACCCUGAAGCAGCAACGCCGCGUGGAGGAUGAAGGUCUUUGGAUUGUAAACUCCUUUCGAUCGGGACGAUUAUGACGGUACCGGAAGAAGAAGCACCGGCUAACUCUGUGCCAGCCGCCGCCGUAA
rnacentral:rRNA from 1 species